GUGGGCGCCCCCCGGACCCUGUCUCCAAUAUCAUAAUGUCAAAUUUAUUCCAGCAUGCGAAACUUCCAGCGGGACAACUGUCGUCACCAGCAUCCUAGCUAAAAUUACUUAAGGGCGGGUUGGGAAGAGAGGGAAAGUGUUUACAUAGCUGUUUAAGCCCGCCGCCACCUCUCCGCCAAUAAGCUUCUCUGUUGCUAUUCUACUUUCAGGCGCCCGGGCAGUUUUUGUCUUGUGACAUGCCAACAUUUUUUCCAAUGGACGCCAAAUGGAUCACUUGCCCUUCCUCCUGUUUCACUGGUCUGAUGUCUCUCCUGAUUGCCUGAUUGUGUCCACAUGUCACCCACCCUCAAUGGGUAUGAGUGGCUCGUCUUCAUUCUGUCCUGUGCCAGAGUGUUUUUGUAUCUUUUGUGCGAACCUCCAGCGUUCCAUGUCCACAGCCAUUGCCAUGUUUUUUGUACCCUUUUUGUCAGCGACUCCUCGCUCUCCCGGCCCUCCAGCCUGGGAACCUCCAGUUUGUCUAUGAAGGCCUGCAGUUCAUUCCGGAAGGCUUUCAUCUGGGCGUUGAUGCGAUACAGCAGCUCAUGCUCCCUAAUACGGCUGCCAUCAUCCUCUGCGCCGCCUUCCCAUGCUAGCACGAGGUCGCUGCUGGAGACGUAGACCCUUGCCUCUGAUAUGAUGGCCGCCGUGUCAGCGAUGAGGCGGUCGAUGGUCCGAACAAGCCUCUCCGCUUCCACUCGGAUGUCAAUCAUUUGCUGCCUGUUGUGUAGGCUGCCCCGCCCGCCAGGAAGGAAGCGGGAUAACGGGGAGGAGGCAGCGCCCUCUGGUCCAGAGGGCGUGAGGAGGCCCCUGGUCGGGGUUAAGCAACGGCUGCUGCCAUUAAUGUUCCUGACCUCGUCUGAGUCGCUCUCUCCGCCGACUGGGCCCUCGCGUUUGCGGUGAGGAGGAAGCAGGCGAGACGACGUGGAGUCUUCGUCACUCUCGCGCCGACCGCUUGUGCCGCCGGCGUCGCUCUCGGCAUCGCUGUCCCUUGGGCUGGGCCGCAGGGAAAGGUGGGAAGCCAAGUCGUAGCGUUGCAUGUUGGAGAGGAGCACGCGGUUCUCGUACUGCAGCUGCAUUACCUGAAGGGACGGAAAAGGUUAUCAGAUUUUUUUAGAAUUGCGUAAUGCUAAUAAAAAAAUGUCAUCAUGCACUAAUGUGACCAGUCAGGGGUGCUUAAACACACUCUACCUGUGUUUACCUGUUUUUCCCUAUCUAACAUAGUACAAUAUAUGGAACACUUAUGAGGUUGAUGCCAUGUUAAUGUUAGCAUUUAUAUUAAAAGUAAGCAUUAUUACACUACAAAUGGAGCAAUAAAAUUCCAACAAGAAAUAGCCUCUGCUAUCAACAAUAGUUGUUUCAAAGGCAACAAUACAUACUGUAUAUGUAAUGAUAACUUGACUUACAAAAGACAGCAGAUAAGUGGAGGAAAAGAAAGAGAAGCUAACUGUAUUAACCUCGUAGAUUGUUAUAGUAACAAUAGGUUAAGCUUUGUCAGUGUACCGUGUGUUACCCAGUUUACCCUAGGGGAACAACGUUAAUAUAUGUUUGAUGAAACAUGAUUAUUUAUAUUCAUGGCUGUAUGUAUGCAUAUGUGUAUAUGUAUGUCUGUACAGUGAAUGUGCGUGUGGAUGUAUGGACAGUGAGUGUGUAGGUAUGUGGGAGUGUAUGUACCUAUGUACAGUAUGUGUGUAAGUACUAAUGUGUACAAGUAUGUAUUAAUGAAUGAAUAUGCGUAUGUGUGUUUAUAUGUAUGAAUAAUUGUGUGUAUGUGAGAAUGUAUGUGCAUUUGUAUGUACAAUGUAUUUGUCUCCAAGUGUGUGCGAGAGCCAAAGUAUGGCCCCAGCCACCCAGAGAUCCCAACCCAAAACAGCAGGUGCGGUGCCCAGGGAACAAGGGACCAUUGGCCCUACUUAGCCAGGCCUGCCAGCGACAGGAGAAGAAAAGGACAGCCAGCCCCCAAGCCUGCCAUAGACCACACCCCACGAGGGCAGAAAGACGUGACGCCCUGCCCCAAGACUCCCCGCAGCCAGACGGGAAGACCGCUCCCACCCCACCAGCAACCGGGCCCCCAUGAGCCCAAACACCCCAGAAAAGCACGGCAGGGCCCACCCUGGGCCGUCCCACCCAAGUUGGCUACUGCAGGACCGCCCAGUACCCAUGACACCUGCAGGGACCCGACGAUGGAGAUGGAACAUUCAUUACUGCCAAGGCGGAUCCUCCCCCUGAAAGAAGAGGGGGGAAAAAACAAGGGAAAAAAAAAAAGAGGAGAUCACAGAUACACUGACAAAAUGGAUACAUGGAUGAUACAGCAGAGGAUUGGGAGAAUGUCAUGUGGUCAGAUGAAACCAAAAUAUAACUUUUUGGUAUAAACUCAACUUGUGUUUGGAGGAAGAAGAAUGCUGAUUUUACAUCCAAAGAACACCAAACCUACUGUGAAGCAUGGGGGUGGAAACAUCAUGCUUUGGGGCUGUUUUUCUGCUAAGGGGACAGGACGAUUGAUCUGUGUUAAGGAAAGAAUGAAUGGGGCCAUGUAUCGUGAGAUUUUGAGCCAAAACCUCCUUCCAUCAGUGAGAGCUUUGAAUGGUUGACCAAAUACUUAUUUUCCACCAUAAUUUACAAAUGAAUUCUUAAAAUUUCCUACAAUGUGAAUUCCUGGAUUUUUUCACAUUCUGUCUCUCACAGUUGAAGUGUACCAAUGAUGAAAAUUACAGACCUCUGGCAUCAUUUUAAGUGGGAGAACUUGCACAAUCGGUGGCUGACUAAAU